rnacentral:rRNA from 1 species
GACGAACGCUGGCGGCGUGCUUAACACAUGCAGGUCGAGCGGUAAGGCCUCUUCGGGGGUACACGAGCGGCGAACGGGUGAGUAACACGUGGGUGACCUGCCCUCAGCUCUGGGAUAAGCCUGGGAAACUGGGUCUAAUACCGGAUAUGACCUUUCCUCGCAUGGGGUUUGGUGGAAAGUUUUUUCGGCUGGGGAUGGGCCCGCGGCCUAUCAGCUUGUUGGUGGGGUGAUGGCCUACCAAGGCGACGACGGGUAGCCGGCCUGAGAGGGCGACCGGCCACACUGGGACUGAGACACGGCCCAGACUCCUACGGGAGGCAGCAGUGGGGAAUAUUGCGCAAUGGGCGGAAGCCUGACGCAGCGACGCCGCGUGGGGGAUGACGGCCUUCGGGUUGUAAACCUCUUUCGACCCCGACGAAUUUGGACGGUAGGGGUAGAAGAAGCACCGGCCAACUACGUG